rnacentral:rRNA from 1 species
GAAACGAUGGCUAAUACCCCGGAUGUCAUUGUGUUUAGAAAGCAAUGACUAAAGCUCCGGCGCUCUGGGAGGGGCCUGCGUCCCAUCAGCUAGUUGGUAAGGUAAUGGCUUACCAAGGCAAAGACGGGUAGGGGGCGUGAGAGCGUGACCCCCCACACUGGUACUGAAACACGGACCAGAUACCUACGGGUAGCAGCAGCAAGGAAUAUUGCCCAAUGGACGAAAGUCUGAGGCAGCAACACCGCGUGGAGGACGAAGGCCUUCGGGUCGUAAACUCCUUUUCUGGGGGAAGAGAAAGGACGGUACCCCAGGAAUAAGGCCCGGCUAACUACGUGCCAGCAGCCGCGGUAAAACGUAGGGGUCAAGCGUUAUCCGGAUUUACUGGGCGUAAAGCGCAUGUAGGCGGUUACUUAAGUCGGACGUGAAAGCUCCUGGCUCAACUGGGAGAGGCCGUUCGAAACUGAGUAACUCGAGGAUGGUAGAGGAGAGUGGAAUUCCCGGUGUAGUGGUGAAAUGCGUAGAUAUCGGGAGGAACACCAGUGGCGAAGGCGGCUCUCUGGG